rnacentral:rRNA from 1 species
UACAGAGGUCCCAAGCGUUGUUCGGAUUCAUUGGGCGUAAAGGGUGCGUAGGCGGCGCGAUAAGUCGGGUGUGAAAUCUCGGAGCUUAACUCCGAAACUGCAUUCGAUACUGCCGUGCUUGAGGACUGGAGAGGAGACUGGAAUUUACGGUGUAGCGGUGAAAUGCGUAGAUAUCGUAAGGAAGACCAGUGGCGAAGGCGGGUCUCUGGACAGUUCCUGACGCUGAGGCACGAAGGUCCAGGGGAGCAAACGGG